UCCUCACGGACAAGGGGACACGCGGCGCAAGCGCCGACGUGACGCCGGAAGUCGUUUGGACGCAGCAACGGAAGCUAUUUCGGGCAGAUAGGGGUCGAUGACCCCGUGCCCCCCACGUUUUUCGCAUCCCGGAGUCCGAAAGGCAUUCGUGAGCCACGACUACAACGCCGUGUUUGCCGGGGAACACGAACAUCACUUCGGGUUUCGCCCGAGACCACACCGAUUGAACGGGCAGCCCCAAGACGAACGGGAGACUGUAAGAAGCCGAAUUCCAUUCGAGUCGGUACGCAACACAGGCAACCCGCAUAACGGCCAAUAUAUUGUACCCGAGAAUGAAGAGGAAUGCACGGUCGGACGUCGCCGCGCCCGAGCGGGGAUCCAACC
rnacentral:misc_RNA from 1 species